rnacentral:rRNA from 1 species
UACGUAGGUGGCAAGCGUUGUCCGGAUUUACUGGGCGUAAAGGGCGCGUAGGCGGUGCGGCAAGUCUUCUGUGAAAUCUCCGGGCUUAACUCGGAGUCUGCAGGGGAAACUGCCGCGCUUGAGUGUGGGAGAGGUGAGUGGAAUUCCCGGUGAUAGCGGUGAAAUGCGUAGAGUAUCGGGAGGAACACCAGUCGGCGAAGGCGACUACCUGGCC